CCUACGGGAGGCAGCAGUGAGGAAUAUUGGUCAAUGGGCGCGAGCCUGAACCAGCCAAGUCGCGUGAGGGAAGACGGUCCUAUGGAUUGUAAACUGCUUUUAUGCGGGAAUAACGCGCCUUACGUGUAGGGCUUUGCAUGUACCGUAUGAAUAAGGACCGGCUAAUUCCGUGCCAGCAGCCGCGGUAAUACGGAAGGUCCGGGCGUUAUCCGGAUUUAUUGGGUUUAAAGGGAGCGUAGGCCGCAUGUCAAGCGUGCGGUGAAAGGUCCGGGCUCAACCCGGGCCUUGCAGCGCGAACUGGCGUGCUUGAGUACGCUGAAAGCAGGCGGAAUUCGUGGUGUAGCGGUGAAAUGCUUAGAUAUGACGAAGAACCCCGAUUGCGAAGGCAGCUUGCUGCAGCGGAACUGACGCUGAUGCUCGAAAGCGCGGGUAUCGAACAGGAUUAGAUACCCCUGUGGUC
rnacentral:rRNA from 1 species